GCUCCGCUGUGACGGGUACACUUGGACCCAAGCUCGAGCUUGCUAAUAAACCCUCGUGUGCUUGCAUUGGUGUUGGCUCCUUGGUGGUUUCUCGGAUUCGCAAUCUUGGGCACAACAUUUGGGAGCUCGUCGGGGAUCUGAGAGACCCCUAGGACCCCACCCAGAGGGUCCCAUGCCUGCCUACUUGGGAUGACUGCCAUCAGCUCUUGCAGGUUCUCUUCACCACCAGAGAGAGAACGAAUUCAGGUGGAAGCCCGGAAGUCUGUCCUGGGAGAGGACAGACAGCCGACUCAAAACCCAGACCUCAUAAACGCUGCCUUCCCCUUAUCCCACCCUACCUGGGACUACAACUCGGCUGAAGGUCUAGAGGACAAAUAUCAUCUCCACCAAAUGCCCUCAGCCCCAGUGACUGACAUUGACCGUUGGCUGCAGGAAUUUCCCCAAGCAUGGGCAGAAACUGGGGGAAUUGGGCUGGCCCGGCACCGACUGGCCAUAUACAUAGACCUAAAGCCGGGGGCAGACCCUGUCAGGGUCCGCCAAUCCCCCAUGCCUCCCAUUCGUGCUACGAGCAGGAAUCACAACCCACAUACGGCAACUACUGGACUCGGGCAGUAGUCUUCUACUGUCUGAGAGGCCUUGCCAAUCGGCAUGGAACACUGCCUUGCUGCCGGUGCGGAAACUGCACUCUAACGAUUAAGUCAACCGGCAAGUAGAGGAUAUAUACCCUACGGUCCCAAACCCAUACACCCUCCUCUCCACCUUGCCUCCAGACAAAACUUGGUAUACGGUAUUAGAUUUAAAAGAUGCCUUUUUCAGCCUGCCUUUAGCACCCAAGAGCCAAGACCUUUUCACCUUUGAAUGGACGGACAUUGAAAGGCAUCAAUAGCCAGCUCACCUGGACACGACUACCACAAGGAUUCAAAAAUUCACCACCAUCUUCGAUGAGGCCUUACACGAAGACAUGGGUGAGUUCCGUGCCAAGCACCUUCAUUUGACCUUAUUGCAAUAUGUGGAUGAUAUCCUGUUGGUGGCGGAGGACCAGGACACUUGCCUGUGAGGCACCAAGGACUUAUUCCAGACAAUAGCAGCUCUAGGAUACUGGGCCUCAGCUAAAAAAAGCCCAGAUCUGCAGAGCAGAGGUGAGCUACCUAGGGUACAAAUUAAAGGAUGGACAGAGGUGGUUGAUGGAUGUAUGGAAGGAAACUGUCCUAAGGAUCCCACAGCUGCAAACCGUCCUCCAGGUACGUGAAUUCCUGGGGUCAGCAGGGUUCUGUUGAUUAUGGAUUCCAGGUUUUGCCGAGAUGGCCAGACCCCUCUAUGAGGCUACCAGGCACCAGCAAAAUUUUGAAUGGACAGAGGCCAUGAACACAGCCUUUAAUGACCUUAAACAGGCCUUGCUGUCUGCCCCGGCUCUCGGGUUGCCCGACCUAACCAAGCCCUUCUACCUGUAUGUGGAUGAGAAAGACAAGGUGGCAAAAGGGGUCUUUGUCCAGUACAUAGGUCCCUGGAAGAGACCCAUAGCCUAUCUUUCCAAAAAGCUGGACAUGGUGGCUGCUGGGUGGCCCCCAUGUUUAAAAAUUAUUGCCGUGGUGGCCACUAUGGUCAAGGACGCAGACAAGCUGACCAUGGGGCAAGAACUGUAUGUUACCACAUGCUAUUGAAGGGGUACUCAAACAGCCCCCAGACCGCUGGAUCAGCAAUGCUCAUAUGACCCAUUAUCAGAGCCUACUGCUAAACCCCACCAGAAUUUUAUUCAAGCCACCGACAACCCUGAAUCCAGCAACACUACUCCCUAACCCAGACUGAGACCCCCCUCUGCAUGACUGUCAAGAAAUUUGGGCACAGGUGCACGGAAUCAGAGCUGAUCUCCAGGACCAGCCACUGCUGAACGUGGAUGCCACCUGGUAUAUGGACGGCAGCAGUUUUGUCCAAGAAGGAAUCAGAUAGGUGGGGGCAGCCAUAACCACGGAAAUGGAGACCAUCUGGGCAGAGCCAUUGGCAGCCAGAACAUCGGCUCAAUGGGCAGAACUGAUCGCACUGGCCAAGGUGCUAACCAUGGGAGAAGGUAAAUGAAUAAACAUUUACACCAACAGCAGGUACGCCUUUGCCACCGCUCAUAUCCACGGAGCCCUUUACAGAGAGAAAGGGUUUCUGACAGCAGAAGGAAAGACUAUUAAAAACAAAACAGAGAUCCUUGAACUCCUGAGGGCCCUCUGGCUGCCCAAGGCACUAGCUACCAUCCAUUGUCUGGGACACCAAAAAGCAGAUACACUAGUAGCUAGGGAAAACUGGCUAGCCAAUUCAAAAGCAAAGGAGGCAGCCCUUUCAGUGACCCAGAUCUUAACAACCACACUACCCGAUCCAGGGGCACCGACCCUGCUGGACACCCCCAACUAUACUGAUGCUGACUUACACUGGAUCAAACGCUUGCCUAUGACCCAAUGCUUGCGUGGCUGAUGGAGAGCCGCAGACUCCAGCAUCAUCCUGCCAGAGGAACUAGGAUGGCGAGUCCUAUACAAAAUGCAUCGGAGUACAGAGGUGUUCCCCACCAAGCACGAAACAGUGCAAAUGGUGACCAAAAAGCUGCUGGAGGACAUUCUGCCAAGAGCCCAUGAGCAGGUAUGGCCUAAGCUGAGGGCCCUCUCUACGAGACUGGGCUGCCCCCGGACCCCCAUCGAUAUCGACCAUGCAAUUGGGUGUACAUGCGGAGACACCAACAGCAGAUGCUCCAACUUUGCUGGAAAGGACCCUACAUUGUGAUCCUGACUAUGCCCACUGCUCUCAAGGUCGACGGAAUAACUCCCUGGGUCCACUACACCCACAUCCGGCUAGCUGAUCCACACACCAUACUCAAGAACUUUGUUCCAGAAUGGAAGAGUCAGCCCGACAAGGACAAUCUGUGUCAGGCCAGGGGCUCUGCAUAGGCACUCCUCCACGCCACUACUAGUGGCUUUUGUCAGGGACCGGGUUACCAGAUUCUGUGCGUUACACAGCCUGUAAACAGUACUGGGUAUCAUCUACCGCCCCAAAACAGUUGGUGGGCCUGUUCCGAGGGAUUAAAUCCCUGCGCUCACGGACAGGUUAUAAACAGAACUGGGGGCUUCUGUGUGCUGGUUCAACUACUCCCUAGAAUCAUCUCAAUGGAUGGACCGGGUACCCACGGGUGAAAUCCCAUCUCUGUUGUCACCAUCGCUACCCUGCUAGGAAUUAGUUUGGCUGGCAUAGGAACAGGUAUUGCUUCACUGGCCACCCAAGCUUCCCACUGCAAAGGUCAGGGAAGGACUGGCUAGGCAAAAACAAGAGCGAGAGCAGCAACAGGGGUGGUUCGAAUCCUGGCUCGAUCAUUCUCCCUGGCUAAUUACCUUGUUGCCCUCCCUAGCUGGCCCCCUCAUCCUCCUCCUCCUCCUUCUGAAGGCAACAAUACCAACCACUGAACUUUCAGGACCCAUGAUUGGGUCCUGCAUUGGGUUCCUCUGAAAAGGGGGGAAUGUGGGACCCAAGAAAUUCAGAAAGUGUCCCCCACCCCUGGUCCCUACAUAAGCACAGACUUGAUCCCAGGACCCUGGUAUUAUGACCUGAGCCAAAGGCAGAGACUCAACCAACCACUGAGCCACCCAGGUGCCCCAAGGGUCAGGUUUUUAUGCAGAUUUAAGUCAUUACCUUCUCCAUUAAUAAGAAUUUCUAGCGAUUUAGAGACAUCCUUUUCCUGGUACACAGUGGGAGACACCCUAAUGAAUGGAGAUUCCCUUAUAAAUGUUAAUAUGUCUGGGCCCCUGGGUGGCUCAGCCGGUUAACUGUCUGACUCAUGAUUUGGGUUCAGGUCAUGAUCUUAAGGAUCCUGAGAUUGAGCCUCACAUCGGGCUCUGUGCUCAGUCUGGAGUCUGCUUGUCCCUCUCCCUCUGCUCCUCCCCCCAUCCCACCCCUGCUCUCUCUAUCUCUACCAUAAGUAAACAAAAGACUUUAAAAAUAAAAAUAAAUGUUAAUGUGUCUCACAAAAAGGCAACUUCUACUUGGGUUUUUAUUUUAUUUUUUUAUUUUAAAGAUUUAUUUGUUUAUUCAUGAGACACACACACACAGAGAGAGAGAGAGAGAGAGAGAGGCAGGCAGAGACACAGGCAGAGGGAGAAGCAGGCUCCUUACAGGGAGCCCGAUGCGGAACUUGAUCCCGGAUCCUAGAAUCACGCCCUGAGCCAAAGGCAGAUGCUCAACCUCUGAGCCACCCAGGCAUCCCCUACUUGGGUUUUUAGAACUUCUCUUGACUUUGCAGUUCUUAAAAAAUAAUCAUCUUAAAAUAACCCUUUUGCCAAAGAGGCCUAUUUUGAGGUGGCAAAUUCUGCUCCUUCGCCUUCUUUUUUUUUCUUUUUUUUUAACGAUUUUAUUUAUUUAUUCAUGAGAGAGAGAGAGAGAGAAGAGAAGAGACAUAGAAAGAGAGAGAAGCAGGCUCCGUGCAGGAAGCUGUGUGGAACUCAAUCCCAGUACAUCAGGAUCAUGCUGUAAGCUGAAGACAGACGCUUAACCGCUGAGCUACCCAGGUGUCCCUGCUCCUUCACCUUCUACUUGGACUGAAAUCAACAGGCUUGAGCAGAGGAGUGAUUUACCUGUCUUGCCUCAUAACAGUAUCACAUUGGUCACUCUGUCCAGAAUACACUGUAGGGAACAAGAGUGAGAACAGGGACCAGUGAGAAGACUAUUGUGAUAAUGCCUGGGAUGAAGGGGACAGCAGUGGAGGUGGUGAGAAGUUAUUAUGUUCUAGAUAUACUUUGAAGAUUGAAGCAAAAGGACUUUCUGACACAAAAUCCAGAUGGCAUGAAUAAAAAGACUGAUUCAUCUGAA